rnacentral:rRNA from 1 species
UACGUAGGGUGCAAGCGUUGUCCGGAAUUAUUGGGCGUAAAGAGCUCGUAGGCGUUUUGUCGCGUCGAAUGUGAAAACCCGGGGCUCAACCCCGGGCCUGCAUUCGAUACGGGCAGACUAGAGUUCGGUAGGGGAGUCUGGAAUUCCUGGUGUAGCGGUGAAAUGCGCAGAUAUCAGGAGGAACACCGGUGGCGAAGGCGGGACUCUGGGCCGAUACUGACGCUGAGGAGCGAAAGCGUGGGGAGCGAACAGG